rnacentral:rRNA from 1 species
CCUACGGGUGGCAGCAGUGAGGAAUAUUGGUCAAUGGCCGAGAGGCUGAACCAGCCAAGUCGCGUGAGGGAAGACGGCCCUACGGGUUGUAAACCUCUUUUGUCGGGGAGCAAAGAGAGUCACGUGUGACUCCUUGAGAGUACCCGAAGAAAAAGCAUCGGCUAACUCCGUGCCAGCAGCCGCGGUAAUACGGAGGAUGCGAGCGUUAUCCGGAUUUAUUGGGUUUAAAGGGUGCGCAGGCGGAGGUGCAAGUCAGCGGUCCAAUUGCGGGGCUCAACCCCGUACUGCCGUUGAAACUGCAUCCCUUGAGUGCGCGAGAAGUAUGCGGGAGGCGGGGGGGAGCGGGGAAAUGCAGAGAUAUCACGCAGAAGUCCGAUUGCGAAGGCAGCAUACCGGCGCGCAACUGACGCUCAUGCACGAAAGCGUGGGUAUCGAACAGGAUUAGAUACCCUUGUAGUC